AUUGAACGCUGGCGGCAGGCCUAACACAUGCAAGUCGAACGAGUGGCGGACGGGUGAGUAAUGUCUGGGAAACUGCCUGAUGGAGGGGGAUAACUACUGGAAACGGUAGCUAAUACCGCAUACCAUCGGAUGUGCCCAGACGGGAUUAGCUAGUAGGUGGGGUAAAGGCUCACCUAGGGGACGAUCCCUAGCUGGUCUGAGAGGAUGACCAGCAAAACUGGAACUGAGCCACGGUCCAGACUCCUCCGGGCGGCAGCAGUGGGGGAUAGUGAACGAUGGGCGAAAAACAGAUGCAGCAGUGCCGCGUGGAUGAAGAGGGCCUUCGGGUUUUAAGGUACUUUCAGAGGGGAGGCGUUACCCGAAGAAGAAGCACCGGAUAACUCAGUGCCAGCAGCCGCGGUAAUAC
rnacentral:rRNA from 1 species